CUGAUGUGGCCUGACGUUGGUGCCUGUGUAAACAGGUGAAAAGGGAAUGUGGAAUCGGGGCGCUCUGCAAGGGGCGUCGUGGUCAACCUCAGCCGCCCCCGCGACCGUGAACGAAAAAGGGCGCUUAAUGCCACUGGCCGCAAGGCUGGGAAGGCAGAGCACCCGCUGGGCCACCGCCCUGAAUUUCGUGAGCCGGGAGACCUGCCAACCUGACCGAAGACCG
rnacentral:ncRNA from 2 species